rnacentral:tRNA from 1 species
GGAAGUUGAUGGGGUCCGGUGGCUCCCGCGGUCUUCAAAACCGUCGGUCGCGCCUAGCGCGACGGUGGGUUCGAUUCCCGCCUCUUCCG